rnacentral:lncRNA from 1 species
GGUAUGAUCUCUGAGUUGGAUAGUUGAUAAAAAGUACACUUUUCCAAAUUCAAGCAAUAAAAAUGGAAUGCUGAAUGCAAUAGUCAUAGAUAACACCAAAAUCGUAAGAUGUUUAUCGAGGGAAAUAUAAUUCGUCUUAAAAUAAGUAAUUAUCCUUUGUAUCUCGCACUUCGAGAUUACGAAGGUAGUUUCACUACUUUCAUGACUUGGACCACAAUUCAGAUCUAAAGUGAACGACUGGGGCGCCCCGUGACCAUUGUGGCGCUGCCCUAUUACUAUUUAUUCAUUCGUUAUUUUUGCGUAAGACAGAUCACACGUUUGGUGCAAGUGAACAGUUUCAACGUAUUUUAUUAAUAAUAAUAGAGAUAGAAAAUUAUCAAUGGGUAGUAGCAAGAAGAAAAGGUCAAGAAGUCGGGAUCGUUCAAGGGAAAGGACAUCCAAAAGACUUCACAAGUUAGAGGAUAAGAUGGAGGAGAUAGCAACGGGGUUUGCUGCAAUAAAGGAAGCCAUCUUGGGACCCCAAGGUACAGUCCAUGAGAUGCCGGAGCGAUCGUAAUCAGAUGUGGAAGUCUUCAUAGGAGCUGGAUGCGGAUGCUCUCCGUAUCUUUGAGAGGAUCCGGUGCAGGAAGAACUUAAAUUCGUCCUGCACUCCAGUGUCGCUAAUCGUUGGAAAAAAAAAAUAUAUUUAUCCGAAGGUCUAAAGAGAGUCACUCCUAGGAAAAUACCCCAGGAAGGGCAAACUUUCGUUCGAGCCGCCGAUUUUGAAUGAAGAGGUGACAGUUAACUUAAAAGAAUCAGCUCUGAAGAGGGACAAGUACUCUGGUGCUACGCAGAAGCUAGCAAGAUCUGCUUGGCUGCUUUGACUCCAAAACAACUGCAUGUGCAUCUAAGCCGGUAAUAAAUGAACAGCAGCCUCAAAAACGAGCGGUUAAAUAAGUGAUGAGAGAUUGGAGCAAAGUUGGGAUGCGGCAAAAUUACCAAUUGAGAUCGACAGAUCUCAAACGAUUGCACGCAGAGCUUGCAGCUUACCGACGUUGUCAAAGCAGUGGGCGACGGCACUAGACAAAAGGCAAGCUAAUGAUUAUUUGUUCGGCGAUAAAUUAGUCGACAAGGUUAAGGAGAUCAAGGCCAUUGGGGAAGUCUGGAAGAGUUGAAGCAGACAUUUUACCCCUAGUCGAGCCAAUAUCGUCAGCAGAACCAACGGUCUCAGAACUGCUUCAGAAGAGAAUGUAAGUAUGUUUGUGGGGCGUCUAAAGUAUUUCUUAAAAGCCUGGAAAACAAUCACUGAGGACAGAAUUGUCAUUCAGUGUGUAGAAUGGUAUAAAAUACCUUUUAAAUUGGUCCCUGUACAAACUCGUCCACCACCUGACAGGGUUUGGUCGGGUCAGGAAAUGGCAUGCAUCCAAUCAGAGAUUAACAGACUGCUUUCGAUAGGCGCAUUUGAGAAAGUACAAGUGGUUCCUGGACAUUUCCUUUCACCGUUCCUUCUGGUCCCUAAGUCGGAUGGUCAACAGAGGUUCAUUCUGAACCUGAAGAAUCUAAAUACGUUUGUUGACGCAGAACACUUCAAACUCGAGGAUCUUAGAUCCGUUUACAGCCUUUCGGAGCGUGAUAUUUUUAUGGGUACAGUGGAUCUUAAAGAUGCUUACUUUCUGAUUUCAGUAUGGAAGUCACAUCGGAGAUUUCUGAGAUUCCUCUUUAAGGGGGUAUUCUGGUCUAGAGGCACGAAUUUUAGGUACUUUUUCAAGUGCAAUAACAAAAAGACGAAUAAUAUUUUCACUAUCUAUAAUGUUACAAGAUAUUUAUUAAUAUUUCAAAAAUACAUGAAAAAAAGAAAAUAGUGAAAAAAUUAAAAAUUGAAAAUGAUAUAGGCUGAUGAAGUGGGGGUUCCCAAAAAAAUAUGCGUGACGGUUGUCACGAUUGCAACUCUUCUAGUAAUCCGAAAUAAAAAAAUAGAAAAGGUUAUUAAUUAAGAAUAAUGCCGCUAUCGUUCGAACUAAAAGAA